rnacentral:rRNA from 1 species
UACGUAGGGUGCAAGCGUUGUCCGGAAUUAUUGGGCGUAAAGAGCUCGUAGGCGGUCUGUUGCGUCGGCUGUGAAAACCCGGGGCUCAACCCCGGGCCUGCAGCCGAUACGGGCAGACUAGAGUUCGGCAGGGGAGACUGGAAUUCCUGGUGUAGCGGUGAAAUGCGCAGAUAUCGGGAGGAACACCUAUGGCGAAGGCAGCUCGCUGGGACGUUACUGACGCUGAGACGCGAAAGCGUGGGGAGCAAACAGG